GGAGAGGUGUGAGAGCGGUCGAAUCAGCGCGCUUGGAAGGCGCGUAGGUCUCUAAAGGGCCUCCAGGGUUCGAAUCCCUGCCUCUCCGCCA
rnacentral:tRNA from 1 species